UACGGGAGGCAGCAGUGGGGAAUAUUGCACAAUGGGCGCAAGCCUGAUGCAGCGACGCCGCGUGGAGGAAGAAGUAUUUCGGUAUGUAAACUCCUAUCAGCAGGGAAGAAAACGACGGUACCUGACUAAGAAGCCCCGGCUAAAUACGUGCCAGCAGCCGCGGUAAU
rnacentral:rRNA from 1 species